rnacentral:rRNA from 1 species
AUUAAAGAGUUCUAUAACUCCCAAACCCAUGUGAACAUACCUAACGUUGCCUCGGCAGGUCGCACCUACCUUGUAGCACCCUACCCUGUAGGGCCUACCCGGGAGAUGCGGGUAAGCCUGCCGGCGGCCCACCAAACUCUGUUUAAUAUUGAAUUCUGAACAUAUAACUAAAUAAGUUAAAACUUUCAACAACGGAUCUCUUGGUUCUGGCAUCGAUGAAGAACGCAGCGAAAUGCGAUAAGUAAUGUGAAUUGCAGAAUUCAGUGAAUCAUCGAAUCUUUGAACGCAUAUUGCGCCCAUUAGUAUUCUAGUGGGCAGGACCGUUCGAGCGUCAUUUCGACCCUUAAGCCUUAGUUGCUUAGUGUUGGGAGCCUACGGCAACGUAGCUCCUCAAAGUUAGUGGCGGAGUUGGUUCACACUCUAGACGUAGUAAUUUUUUAUCUCGCCUAUUAGUUGGACUGAUCCCCUGCCGUAAAACCCCCAACUUAUCAAGGUUGACCUCGAAUCGGUUCAGACAAACUCGCUAAAUUGAAGCAUCUUAGUCAGCGAAGGAAAAGAAACCAACAGGGAUUGCCCUAGUAACGGCGAGUGAAGCGGCAACAGCUCAAAUUUGAAAUCUGGCCCUCGGGUCCGAGUUGUAAUUUGUAG